CCUACGGGUGGCAGCAGUGGGGGAUAUUGCACAAUGGGGGAAACCCUGAUGCAGCGACGCCGCGUGUUGGCAGACGGUCCUCUGCAUUGUAAACCACUGUCCCCAGGGACGCAGAUGACGGUACCUGGGGAGGAAGCUCCGGCUAACUACGACCCAGCAGCCGCGGUAAUAAGUAGGGCGCAAGCGUUGUCCGGAAUUACGGGUGGUAAAGGGAGCGUAGGCGGGAUGGCAAGUUGUGUGUUAAAUCUACCGGCUCAACUGGGAGACGCACUCAAAACUGCUAGUCUGGAGUGAAGUAGAGGCAGGCGGAAUGCCUAGUGUAGCGGUGAAAUGCGUAGAUAUUAGGAGGAACACCAGUGGCGAAGGCGGCCUGCUGGGCUUUUACUGACGCUGAGGCUCGAAAGUGUGGGGAGCAAACAGGAUGAGAUACCCCAGUAGUC
rnacentral:rRNA from 1 species